rnacentral:rRNA from 1 species
UACGUAGGGGGCAAGCGUUGUCCGGAUUUAUUGGGCGUAAAGAGCGUGUAGGUGGCCGUACAGGUCAGCUGUGAAAACUCGAGGCUCAACCUCGAGACGUCGGUUGAAACCGUACGGCUAGAGUCCGGAAGAGGAGAGUGGAAUUCCCGGUGUAGCGGUGAAAUGCGCAGAUAUCGGGAAGAACACCCGUGGCGAAGGCGGCUCUCUGGGACGGUACUGACGCUGAGACGCGAAAGCGUGGGGAGCGAACAGG